GUCUUUAUCAACAUUUAGGCUGCCCCUGGCUAACCCCGUCUGAGCUUAGAAACUAAUUCAGGUUGGACUUGGUUAGUUCUUGGAUGGGAUACCACCUGGAGAUCCCAGGAGCUGCGGACU
rnacentral:rRNA from 1 species